CACGUAGGGUGCAAGCGUUGUCCGGAAUCAUUGGGCGUAAAGAGCUCGUAGGCGGCUUAGUAAGUCGGGUGUGAAACCUCCAGGCUCAACCUGGAGACGCCACCCGAUACUGCUAUAGCUAGAGUCCAGUAGGGGAGUGCGGAAUUCCCGGUGUAGCGGUGAAAUGCGCAGAUAUCGGGAGGAACACCAGCGGCGAAGGCGGCACUCUGGGCUGGUACUGACGCUCAGGAGCGAAAGCGUGGGUAGCGAACAGG
rnacentral:ncRNA from 4 species